CGAACGGGUGAGUAAUGCGUGACUAACCUGCCCCAUGCUCCAGAAUAGCUCUUGGAAACGGGUGGUAAUGCUGGAUGCUCCAACUUGACGCAUGUCUUGUUGGGAAAGUGUUUAGUGGCAUGGGAUGGGGUCGCGUCCUAUCAGCUUGUAGGCGGGGUAAUGGCCCACCUAGGCUUCGACGGGUAGCCGGCCUGAGAGGGCGGACGGCCACAUUGGGACUGAGAUACGGCCCAGACUCCUACGGGAGGCAGCAGUU
rnacentral:rRNA from 1 species